GGAUGUGAGGGCGAUCUGGUUGCGACAUCUGUCACCCCAUUGAUCGCCAGGGUUGAUUCGGCUGAUCUGGCUGGCUAGGCGGGUGUCCCCUUCCUCCCUCACCGCUCCAUGUGCGUCCCUCCCAAUGAAGGUUAAAAAUCUAAUUUUUGCAAACUUUAUAAAACCUAUGACCACGUUUUGAACUCUUGGAACUCUUGUCAGGGUCUUGGAAGGGCCAGGAGGCAAGGGUCCCUAGAAAAUUCUGAGCAAUUGUUCUGUAAACCUUAAACUGCUGUAAAAAAUAAAGUCAAAUUAAAAAAAAUACAUU
rnacentral:snRNA from 1 species